GAUGAACGCUGGCGGCGUGCUUAACACAUGCAAGUCGAACGGAAAGGCCCAAGCUUGCUUGGGUACUCGAGUGGCGAACGGGUGAGUAACACGUGGGUGAUCUGCCCUGCACUUCGGGAUAAGCCUGGGAAACUGGGUCUAAUACCGGAUAGGACCACAUUUUGGAUGGUGUGGUGGAAAGUUUUUCGGUGUGGGAUGAGCUCGCGGCCUAUCAGCUUGUUGGUGGGGUAAUGGCCUACCAAGGCGUCGACGGGUAGCCGGCCUGAGAGGGUGUACGGCCACAUUGGGACUGAGAUACGGCCCAGACUCCUACGGGAGGUAGCAGUGGGGAAUAUUGCACAAUGGGCGCAAGCCUGAUGCAGCGACGCCGCGUGGGGGAUGACGGCCUUCGGGUUGUAAACUCCUUUCGCUAGGGACGAAGCGCAAGUGACGGUACCUGGAGAAGAAGCGCCGGCUAACUACGUG
rnacentral:rRNA from 1 species